rnacentral:rRNA from 1 species
CGCUCCCUGAACAAAAAACAUGGGGAGUCCUGCCUGCCCAGUGACUAGAGGUUAAACGGCCGCGGUAUCUUGACCGUGCGAAGGUAGCAUAAUCAUUUGUCUCCUAAAUAGAGACUAGUAUGAAUGGCAAGACGGAACCAAACUGUCUCUUUCCCGCAAUUCUGAAUUUCACCUCCCCGUGAAGAGGCGAGGAUAAAAUCGCUAGACGAGAAGACCCUGUCGAGCUUACAGCAAAACUCAAACUCUUAGCAUAUCUUACUCCACACUAAUUAAUAAAACUAUCUGGAAGUAGGGUCUCUAAGAGAUCUGAAUAAAGCUUUGGUUGGGGCAACCGCGGAGUAAAAGAACCCUCCGAUAAUACAAAAAUUAUACUGAGAACAACAAUUCUAAAAUCAACAAUGAAAGUAUGAUCCACUAAGGUGAUCAAAGGAACAAGUUACCGCAGGGAUAACAGCGUUAUCUUUUCUGAGAGUUCACAUUGACGAAAAGGUUUGCGACCUCGAUGUUGGAUCGGGACAUCCUAAGGGUGCAGAAGCUUUAAGGGUUGGUCUGUUCGACCAUUAAAGUCCU